rnacentral:rRNA from 1 species
AGCAGUAGCCACGGGAAUACGAAGGGUGCAAGCGUUACUCGGAAUUACUGGGCGUAAAGCGUGCGUAGGUGGUGGUUUAAGUCCGUUGUGAAAGCCCUGGGCUCAACCUGGGAAUUGCAGUGGAUACUGGGUCACUAGAGUGUGGUAGAGGAUAGUGGAAUUUCCGGUGUAGCAGUGAAAUGCGUAGAGAUCGGAAGGAACAUCUGUGGCGAAGGCGACUAUCUGGGCCAACACUGACACUGAGGCACGAAAGCGUGGGGAGCAAACAGGAUUAGAUACCCCUGUAGUCCCUGUCUCUUAUAC